rnacentral:lncRNA from 1 species
CUGAAGUCCAGGCACAAAAGUCCUUCUCUGGAAGUGUAAUGUUCAUACAUUUGUUAGCAAGCUGGCUGCUUUGGCAUGUGGGUAUUUGGUGUUACCUCUGGAAUUAGGUUGAAAUCUAUUCAGUGUUUGAUUUGCAGGAUCUUGAAGACUCCCUAAAGAGCAUCUCUAAAGCAUAUUUUACUAAACACAACCUUCAUGUUGCAGGUUUUCUCUCCCUAAGUCUGGAGUAAAUAGGGAGACCUUCUUCCAAAGGUGGCACUGCUGGCUAUUCAAAUGAAUACAGAGAGCUGACUGUGAACGGUCAUGUUCACAAACACAUUUUCCUUUACUGGCAGAGCAUCUGAAAACAUACCUGCGAUUACCUUGGAUUUGGUCAUGAUGAAAAGACAGUGAAAGUUUAUUCUCAAGUUGCACUUCUUCCUUUCUGUUUUUGGAAGCAAAAUGACCGACAUGCAGCUUUGCCAUGGUUGAUGAUGUGACUUUGGCUCACAGCCCAGAAGAAUGUCACUGCCCGACAGGAUGAGGAGGAGAGAACCAAAAUCUAGUGCUGGAGAAUUGUAAACCCGUGUAACAUUUUUUCAGCUGCUUUUGAAACCUGGUGGCAUGAAUGUGAACAUGAGAAGUGUACCAAUAGACCUCUUAUUUUUAAAUCGGCUCUUGAACCACAACCAGUAUAUUUCCAGUGCUGACAUUCUCUCUCCAAGUAUCAGUAAGUUUUGGCAACUUCUCUAGAGCACAAGGAACCAGGAUCUCUGCAAUCCAGGAUGGUGUCUGAUAGACAGGAGGAGAGCAGGCAUUCUUCGCUAACCAUGCUGUCCUGCCCGGCUCUUGCUUCUCCCUGAAGAUAUUCACUAAAGGCUGCAGUGCCCAAACACCAGGGUGACCUUGUGCUGACUUAGCACAUUGAAGAAGCACCUGAGUGCUUGCAGAGGUAAUGAGGAGGCAACUCGCUCUACUCUACAGAUGGGAAAACUGCAGUACAGAAAACAGCAAUUUCACUGAAUGUCACAGAGCAAAGCAGAAGUCACCCUGGUGAUUCAGAUGACUUCUGAGCCAAUUCCCAGCUGAAAUACAGCCCACACAAUGCUGCUUGGAGCACUCAUGGUUGAACUGCCAAGGAGGAGCAUCCUCUCUGGGUACUGAUGGAUGUGUGGCCACAGGCAGGUGAGGGCACUUGCUGAAAGGAGCCCAGUAGCUUUAUGAAUUAAUAUCUGGACAGUGAAUAAUACCUGGUACGUGAUAUUAGAUGUUGAAACCAGCAGACUGAGCAGUGAGAAGAUGAGCCCUUGGGAGAUUUAGCAGAUACAGCCCAGAGCUGCUGGGUGCAGAGCUGACUUAACGUAUGAGACUGGAACGAAAACCCUUUUAGGGUGCAAUGCUGUUGAAAAAGUACAUACUAAAAAGAAAAGAAAAACAAAAACAAAGAAAGAUGUGUUUUUCAGAAGUUCAUUUUUAAGAAUAAAAUGUUACUUAACUGACCCGCUUCUGACUGCUUUAGUCUUCAAAUGUUUAGAAAUCCUAUCCCACACCUAAGCUGCAUACAAUCAUAGAAUCAUAGAUUCAUUAAGGUUGAAAAAGGCCACUAAGAUCAUCUGGUCCAACUGCCAACCUAUCACUACCAUCCACACUCAUGUCACUCAGUGCCAUAUCUACACCAAACUUGAAAACCUUCAGGGAUGGUGACUUCACCACUUCACUGGGCAGAGUGUUCCAAUAUCUUGCCACUCUUUUUGAUAAGAAGUUCUUCCUAAUGUCCAAACUGAAUCUUCUCUGGCAUAACUUGAGGCCAUUCC